GACAGAGGGUGCAAACGUUGUUCGGAAUUACUGGGCGUAAAGGGUGCGUAGGCGGCGAGGUAAGUCGGAUGUGAAAUCCCGGGGCUCAACCCCGGAACUGCAUUCGAUACUGCUUUGCUUGAGUACUGGAGAGGAGACUGGAAUUUACGGUGUAGCAGUGAAAUGCGUAGAUAUCGUAAGGAAGACCAGUGGCGAAGGCGAGUCUCUGGACAGUUACUGACGCUGAGGCACGAAGGCCAGGGGAGCAAACGGG
rnacentral:rRNA from 1 species